GAUGAACGCUGGCGGCGUGCCUAAUACAUGCAAGUCGAGCGAACGUACUCGAAGCUUGCUUCUCUGCUGUUAGCUGCCGCCUGAUUAGUCACCCGUGGAUAACCUACCUAUACUACUGAGAUAACUUCGGUACACCGUAGCUAAUACCGGCUAAUAUUUUGAACCGCAUGUUUCAAAAUUGAAAGACGGUCUUGCUUUCACUUAUAGAUGGAUCCGCGCUGCAUUAGCUAGUUGGUAAGGUAAUGGCUUACCAAGGAAACGAUGCAUAGCCGACCUGAGAGGGUGAUCGGCCACACUGGAACGGAGACACGGUCCAGACUCAUACGGGAGGCAGCAGUAGGGAAUCGUCCGCAAUGGGCGAAAGCCUGACGGAGCAACGCCGCGGGAGUGAUGAAGGUGUUCGGAUCGUAAAACUCUGUUAUAAGGGAAGAACAUAUGUGUAAGUAACGGUGCAGAGCGUGAAGGUACCUAAUCAGAAAGCCACGGCUAACUACGUG
rnacentral:rRNA from 1 species